ACACAUGCAAGUCGAGGGGCAGCACGGGUAGCAAUACUUGUGUGGCGACCGGCGCAAGGGCGCGUAACGCGUGAGCAACACGCCCGUAUCAGGGGGAUAAUCCCUGGAAACGUGGUCUAAUACCCCAUAGUAAAUUUUUGGGGCAUCUCAAAGAUUUUAAAGCUUUGGUGGAUACGGAUUGGCUCGCGUGACAUUAGCUAGAUGGUAAGGUAACGGCUUACCAUGGCUACGAUGUCUAGGGGUUCUGAGAGGAAGGUCCCCCACACUGGAACUGAGACACGGUCCAGACUCCUACGGGAGGCAGCAGUGAGGAAUAUUGGACAAUGGAUGGAAAUCUGAUCCAGCCAUGCCGCGUGCAGGAAGACGGCCCUAUGGGUUGUAAACUGCUUUUGUAUGGGAGCAAUAAGAUCUACGUGUAGAUUGAUGAGAGUACCAUACGAAUAAGCACCGGCUAACUCCGUGCCAGCAGCCGCGGUAAUACGGAGGGUGCAAGCGUUAUCCGGAUUUAUUGGGUUUAAAGGGUGCGUAGGCGGUUUGAUAAGUCAGCGGUGAAAUAUUUCAGCUUAACUGGAAGGGUGCCGUUGAUACUGUCGAGCUUGAAUUUAGUUGCUGUGGGUGGAAUGUGUGGUGUAGCGGUGAAAUGCAUAGAUAUCACACAGAAUAUCGAUUGCGAAGGCAGCUCACAAAGCUAAUAUCGACGCUGAUGCACGAAAGUGUGGGGAUCAAACAGGAUUAGAUACCCUGGUAGUCCACACUGUAAACGAUGAUAACUCGCUGUCGGCGAUACACAGUCGGUGGCCAAGCGAAAGCGAUAAGUUAUCCACCUGGGGAGUACCACCGCAAGGUUGAAACUCAAAGGGAUUGACGGGGGGCCGCACAAAGCGGAGGAACAUGUGGUUAAAUUCGAAUGAUACGCGAAGGAACCUUACCCGGGCUUCAAACGGGGCAUGAAUAGAUCAAAAAAUG
rnacentral:rRNA from 1 species